rnacentral:misc_RNA from 1 species
GAUGAAGAACGUAGCGAAAUGCGAUAAGUAAUGCGAAUUGCAGAAUUCAGUGAGUCAUCGAAUCUUUGAACGCACAUUGCGCCCUGUGGUAUUCCGCAGGGCAUGCCUGUUCGAGCGUCAUUAUAACCCCUCAAGCUCAGCUUGGUGUUGGGGCCUGCUGCACUGGCAGCCCUUAAAAUCAGUGGCGGCGCCAUCUGGCUCUAAGCGUAGUAAUUCUUCUCGCUAUGGAGUCCUGGUGGAUGCUUGCCAUCAACCCCCAAUUUUUCUAUGGUUGACCUCGGAUCAGGUAGGGAUACCCGCUGAACUUAAGCAUAUCAAUAAGCGGAGGA